AGCAGACGCCCCUGGGUGGGAUGUGCCUGCUUGUCCAGGACCAGAGGCAGGAUGCGAGGAAGGCGUCAGAGGUGAGGGUGCCCCAGGGGUGCUGGCCGCAGGCACCACCUCGGGCAGCGUGAGUGGAGGGGAGGACGGCUGGCCUGUGUGCAGAGCAGACCCGGCCGGGCUCGUGGGGAGUUUGGUGACAGGUGGCUACAGCUCGACAUGAGUGUCAGCGCCGGACACGGUAAGAAAUCAGUGGGUUCUGGUUGUAUCUUAAAGGUGGGGACGGUAGGACGUCCCAGUAGCCUGGACGUGGGGUGUAAGGGAGGGGAUGGCAGAGGCGCCCGGCUGGGGCAGCAGGGAGGACAGGGUCUGCGUCACCUGCUCGGGGAGGCCUUGUGAGUGUGUGAGGUGGCCAUCCUGAGCCGUUUAGGUGGCCAGGCAGGGACACGGGCAGUCGGGUGUACGAGUCUGGCACUCGGGGGCGGGGAUGGAGAUUUGGGGGGUGUUGACAGCAUUGGGCUAAGCGGUCACCAGGGAGGGGAGCAGUAGAGGACUCACAGCCAGGUAAUUUCUGUCUCCUUCGGAGAGGGACCCUGAGGGCUGCCCGCUUGUUUCCAUGCUGCUGUGCUCGCUCAGAACGUUUUUGGAAUUGCUUUUUACCCUGAAGGGUGUUUUUGAGUAGCUUCGAUGGUGGCAGAUUAUUGUUUGAGGACAGAUUUGAUUUUACGGAACCUCGCAGAUGACACCCAGCCCACUAGAUUCAACAAUGUGGAAUGUGGUUUGUUUGUUAAGGUAAAGGGCUGUUACACUGAGAUUUUGUUUCUUUGGCUGAAACUUGCCCUUGGGUCACAGGUGUUCCGAGCGCAAGAUGUCAGCUCCACUGGGAGCCCCAUCUGUCCUGCCCCGUUGGGACCCCAGGGCCUGUGCAUGGUCCGGCCCAGGGCAGUCCCCUGACACUCCGGGUAGGCACCUACUCCCACAAUCCUGCUGCGGCCACCCCGCCUACGUGGGCAUCCCUCCUCUCUGGCACCCGUUCUGGGGGCAUAGUUUCUCAAUAGGAAUUUCUGUGACCAAAGUUCCUGACAUCCCUGUCUGACCUCCACUCCGCCCUUCCUAGCGCCCCGGCUUCAGUAACUCCUCGGGGCCUCAGUGGGCUGAUCCCACCCCCUUCUCCCUCUCUGACCCUCCCGCCUGUCUGCAUUCUGACUCACCCAGCAGCAGAUUCUGCUGCUGUGUCCUCGUCACUCUGGCGUAGACACUGGCAAUGUCUCCCUGCAUCUCUGUCUCCAUCCUGCCUGGCGGGGAAAGCCCCACACCCGGUUGACGCCAGCUGUGUAUCUGCACUUGGGCAGCUGUCCUGGAGGCAGAGAGGAACGUCACAACCCUGCCAUUCCGGCACGACCACAAACCUCAGCACAGCCCAGGGACGUUUCCUUAGCUGGUGAUCUUGCUACUAAGAUGUUGUGAAAACAGAAGCCACCCAGAGGCCCUGUCCUCAUCUGCCCACCCGACCUACAAACGUUCCAGCUCCGGGGUCGUCCCUGACUGCUCACAAGUUCCCUUUAAAUGAUUCCCCCUUCCCUACAUCAUUGCUCUUCCCCACUCUGAAGGUGGUCCCUACUGGCUACACACAAACGCUCGCGCUUUCAAAGAGAAAACCCUCUUCCCGUGAUUCCCUGUUGCUUCCCCUCUGCUUCCUCCUCACCCAUCCACCCUUCCAUCCUCCUCCUGAGAGGCUCCCAAACACCAACCUCCAGGGAGACACUCUCACCCAGCUUCCCGCUGACCCCUGGCCAGAUGUUGCUCUGCCUGCCUCUCACUUGACCUUUCCUGCAGCCCGGGCUCCUCGACUUGCUGGUUUUCCUCCCCUGGGCAGCCCUUCCUAUUUACUCUCCCCUUGGCUUCUCCUGUUCGCUCUUCUUGCCUCAAGCAGCGGUUCUUAGCCCAGAGGCGAGGCUACUCCUCAGGGGACGUUUAGCAAUGAGUAGAGACCCCCGUGUGGCUGUCACAGCUGGGCGUGGGGAGGUGACACGGGCGUCCAGUGGGCAGACACCAGGGGCGCUGCUGACCACCCUGCCAUGCGGGGACGGCCCCAUCCCCAGCAGGUGGCUGCGCGGCCCGAGGUGGCCCUGGUGCUGAGGCUGAGAAACCUUAUUCCUCCCGGUGGCUUCCAGGGUCCCCUUCUUUUUCUUCUUGGGAUGCACUCUUAGGUGAUUUAAUCUAUCCAUUGCUCUAAAUGCAUUUUAUGGGCUGGCGACCCCCAGCUUGAUACCUGUAGCCCGUCCCUCUCCCCUGAGCUGCAGGUCUGUGUAUCCACCUGUACUUGACCUGUCUACUUGGAAGUCUCUUGAGAAUCUAAGUGUGACCAAGGUGGAACUCCUGGUAAUUUCCCCUCUGAAGCCCGUUCUUCCCCAGCCCUCCUGUCUCAGUAAAUGCCAGCACUCCCCGCAGUGGCGCCGGCCAGACCAGGGAGUCAGCUUGCGUCCUCUCACCACCUCCCCCUGACUAGGCCAAGAGCAAGUUCCAUCAGGUAUGUUUUCAAAACAUUUCCCAACUUGUUGGGUAACCCCUCUGUCCCUGGCCUUGGAACCGGCCUCCCUGCCCACCUGUGCCCUUCCCCAAGCCCCAGGCAGGCGUCUUGCAGACACACUUCAGACCACACAUGUCCCUUCCUUAAAACCCACAGCAUCCUUAGGAAAAACCCCAAACCCGGGCCCUACCUUCCUCCUAAACUCACCCAGACCAGUCUGGGUCCUCACCCCACCCUGCAGCCACCCUGCCCUUUCUUUUGUUCCUUGAUCAGACAAGCCCUUUCUCACCUCGGGGCCUUUCCCAGCCUGAAAUCUCUUCCUCCCCGUCUGCCCGACUCCUCAUGUCCAGAUCUCAGCUCAGAUGUCACUUCUGAGAGGCUUUCCCUGACAUCCCUCUCUAAACCCAUCUCACCCCCUGCCGUGGACCCUCCCAUCUGGCAUCUGGUUUGUUGUCUUGUAUAAAUGCAAGCUUCAUGAGGGCACAGACACCAGUUACCUGUGUGUCCUCAGCACCUAGCCCGUGGCUGGUUCAUAGAGCAAGUCUAGCCCGUGGCAGGUUCAUAGAGCAAAUUUUAGGGGCCUGAACACAAAGGCUCAUUGGCUGAAUCCACAUAAAAUAAAAUACUGGCUUAUCUUUGACAGUUUCCUCACUAUACAAGCACACCACCCUCCCCCCUUUCCCCAGGCUGUGUUUCUGGUUUGUGUUUGGAAUUGCUGGGGCCACAGAUCUUUUCCUGCAGCUGGUUUGGGGGCAAGGCCGACUGCACCCCUGCUUUUCCUUUUCUGCCCUUUGAUUAUGAACGCAGCACAUCCAGCUCGGAUGUUCGAAGGAGCUGGAGCCCAGGGUGAAGGCCCUUCACCUGCCCCUCCCCGCUGUCCCGUCUGACGCCUGCAGGUGACAGUGGGUUCAGCCCUUUUGGAUUUUUAAACCCAAGAUGACACUGAACGGACAGGUACGUUUUCUGCCAGCCGCUCAAGGACAGCAGCGGCCACGUCUCAGGGCUGCCUGUUUUCUGAACCACAGACUUGGGCAGCAGUGCUCGUGAGGAGGAAGGGCUGCAGUAGAACCGGUGCUUCCGGGGGCGGACACUCCACCGUGCUUUGCGGACACCAGGCACCAUCCUGGCCACUCGUGUCCACCUGGGGGAGCGGAGGCGGUGUGGCCCCGUGCAGCAUCUGUGUACUUAGCCGCGCAACCCUCCAGCAGAGUUUUCUUGGUUACGUGGUUUUUCCUUUAAAAUUAAGGUAUGGUACGUUAAAAAGCCAUAACAUUUGAGUUGGCUCCCAUCAGAAGAAUGGAUU